CCUACGGGAGGCAGCAGUGAGGAAUAUUGGUCAAUGGGCUGACGCCUGAACCAGCCAAGUCGCGUGAGGGAAGACUGCCCUAUGGGUUGUAAACCUCUUUUGUCAGGGAGCAACGCCGGCUACGUGUAGCCGGACUGAGAGUACCUGAAGAAAAAGCAUCGGCUAACUCCGUGCCAGCAGCCGCGGUAAUACGGAGGAUGCGAGCGUUAUCCGGAUUGAUUGGGUUUAAAGGGGGCGUAGGCGGAAUGCCAAGUCAGCGGUAAAAUCGCGGGGCUCAACCUCGCUCCGCCGUUGAAACUGGCGUUCUUGAGUGGGCGAGAAGUAUGCGGAAUGCGUGGUGUAGCGGUGAAAUGCAUAGAUAUCACGCAGAACUCCGAUUGCGAAGGCAGCAUACCGGCGCCCAACUGACGCUGAAGCACGAAAGCGUGGGUAUCGAACAGGAUUAGAUACCCUUGUAGUC
rnacentral:rRNA from 1 species